ACUCCUACGGGGAGGCAGCAGUGGGGAAUAUUGCACAAUGGGGGGAAACCCUGAUGCAGCCAUGCCGCGUGUGUGAAGAAGGCCUUCGGGUUGUAAAGCACUUUCAGCGAGGAGGAAAGGUUAGUAGUUAAUACCUGCUAGCUGUGACGUUACUCGCAGAAGAAGCACCGGCUAACUCCGUGCCAGCAGCCGCGGUAAUACGGAGGGUGCGAGCGUUAAUCGGAAUUACUGGGCGUAAAGCGUGCGCAGGCGGUUUGUUAAGCGAGAUGUGAAAGCCCCGGGCUCAACCUGGGAACCGCAUUUCGAACUGGCAAACUAGAGUCUUGUAGAGGGGGUAGAAUUCCAGGUGUAGCGGUGAAAUGCGUAGAGAUCUGGAGGAAUACCGGUGGCGAAGGCGGCCCCCUGGACAAAGACUGACGCUCAGGCACGAAAGCGUGGGGAGCAAACAGGAUUAGAUACCCUGGUAGGU
rnacentral:rRNA from 1 species